GGAGAAUGAACUGCCCACAACUCCCGUGAAGAAGGACUCCCCCAAGAACAUCACAUUGCUUCCAGCCACCGCGGCUACCACCUCACAUUUCCAUGGUUCACAGUUUAAACAGUGAACAAUUGGUGGUGGCAAGUUGCCAUCCUGGCCAUCCUGGUUUUCUCCUGUGAGGUCUUCUCCAAGUCACCGUGACCCCCUCAGGACAGAUCACGACCUCGGGGGCACUGACCUUUGACCGAGCGUCCACGGUAGAGGCCACUGCUGUCAUAUCAGAGAGUCCGGCCCAGGGCGACGUCUUCGCAGGGGCCACAGUCCAAGAGGCCAGCGUGCAGCCCCCAUGCAGGGCCAGCCACCCUGAGCCUCACUACCCCGGCUAUCAGGACAGCUGCCAGAUCGCACCGUUUCCAGAAGCUGCGUUGCCAACGUCACAUCCCAAAAUAGCAGUCCUGCGUUAACUGCGGCCGGGAGGCUAUGAGCGAGUGCACGGGCUGCCACAAGGUCAACUACUGCUCCACCUUCUGCCAGCGCAAGGUAGGUCUCACCUACACCAGG
rnacentral:sRNA from 1 species